AACGAACGCUGGCGGCGGGCUUAACACAUGCAAGUCGAGCGCCCCGCAAGGGGAGCGGCAGACGGGUGAGUAACGCGUGGGAAUCUACCCAUCUCUACGGAAUAACGCAUGGAAACGUGUGCUAAUACCGUAUACGUCCUUCGGGAGAAAGAUUUAUCGGAGAUGGAUGAGCCCGCGUUGGAUUAGCUAGUUGGUGGGGUAAAGGCCUACCAAGGCGACGAUCCAUAGCUGGUCUGAGAGGAUGAUCAGCCACACUGGGACUGAGACACGGCCAGACUCCUACGGGAGGCAGCAGUGGGGAAUAUUGGACAAUGGGCGCAAGCCUGAUCCAGCCAUGUCGCGUGAGUGAUGAAGGCCCUAGGGUUGUAAAGCUCUUUCACCGGUGAAGAUAAUGACGGUAACCGGAGAAGAAGCCCCGGCUAACUUCGUGCCAGCAGCCGCAGUAACAC
rnacentral:rRNA from 1 species